GGGCCUUUAGCUCAGUCGGUUAGAGCAUUCCUCUGAUAAGGGAAAGGUCUGAGGUUCGAAUCCUCAAAGGCCCA
rnacentral:tRNA from 1 species